CGGCAGAUCAAGAGCAUCUCAUCCUCCGGCUGCUGAGUCAUCCUGCUCUGGCAGUUAUUUAAACAGAAGGCUCCAGGAGACAUACAAUCAACACUCCACUCAGACAAUGCCCAGACCUCCAGAAACCAUGUGUCAAGCUCGGAUUGCCUUAGACAGGUGCAAUUUAAGAACAGCUUUCAUCCUCUUUUCUCUCAUAUUGUCACACUAUGUGUUCUGACUUCUGGCUCCUUUCCUCACAAGAAGCUCACCCAGCUGGAACUCUUAUGGGACCUUGGCACCAGAGACCACAAAUUCCUCUUUGAAGUUUUCUAACAGCAACAAUGGUAUUUCUGACUUGGCUUUCUUGUAUUUCUCUCACGUUAACAAAAUUGGUUCAGCAUCUACCAUGGGCUACAUGCUGAGCUACAGAGUUUCGCUCUGUCGCCCAGGCUGGAGUGCAGUGGCGCGCGAUCUCGGUUCACUGCAAGCUCCACCUCCCGGGUUCACGCCAUUCUCCUGCCUCAGCCUCCUGAGUAGCUGGGACUACAGGCGCCCGCCACCACACCCAGGAAUCCAACUUGCUGUUUGCUAUCACAUGUGCUAUACAUGCUGUUGAUGAAACUGCUAAAGGGGCUGAAUGUGACUGACGUCUUUGGAAGGAUGAGACUUAGCGUGCCUGUACAGUUGUGUCCAAAUGCUGUCCUCAUCUCCCAAUGAAAAGCUGAACUAGGGCCAUGCCUGGGACAGACAGAGAAUGGCCUUCCAGCAGACAUGCCAAGAAGCAAGCCAGGGUCAGUGAGUGAAGAGGAGGGCAGGCCCAUUUGAAGCAACACAGUUUAUAUACAUGAAAAGAAAGAAGGAGAGAAGGAAGAAAGGAGGGCGGAAGGAAAGGAAGAAGGGAGAGAAGAAGAGAAGAAAGAAGCAGAGAAAGGAAGAGAAAAGAAAUUACGGCCAGUGCGGUGGCUCACGCCUGUAAUCCUAGCACUUUGGGAGGCCUAAGCGGGCUGAUCACCUGAGGUCAGGAGUUCGUAAGCCAGCCUGGCCAACAUGGUGAAACCCUAUCUCUACUAAAAAUACAAAAAUCAGCAGGGCAUGGUGGUGCGUGCCUGUAAUCCCAGCUACCUGGGAGGCUGAGGUAGGAGAAUCGCUGGAACCCGAGAGGCGGAGGCUGCAGUGAGUUGAGAUCAUGUCACUGCACUCCAGGCUGGGCAACAGAGUGAGACUCUGUCUCAGAAAAAAAAAAAAAGAAAGAAAGAAAGAAAGAAAGUUACCAUUAGUUUUUUGUUGUAUUUGCAAGCAAAGACAAAAGCACCAAGGUACUUGUUUCCUUCUGUAAUUAGAGUUUCAAAUAGACUAAAAGUUUCUGCUCUUAGGUGGGUCUAGAGACUCUCCAGUACCUCAGGACCUCAGGACACAUGGGGUCUCUUGGUUGUUUUCUUUUCAUUGUUGUUGUUUAUUUUAUUUUUGUUUUUAUUUUUUAACUUUAAAACAAUUUUUUGUAGAUGAAUAUGCUUACAUAUGUUUGGGGGUUUUUUUGAGACAGGGUCUUGCUCUGUUGCCCAGGCUGGAGAGCGGUGGUUUAACCACAGCUCACUGCAGCCUCGACCUCCCAAGGUAGGGACUGCAGGUGUGUACACUGGGGUGCACCACCACACCCAGCUAAUUUUUAAAUUUUUUUUUGUAGAUAUUGUCUCACUCUGUUGGCCAGACUGGUCUUGAAAUCCUGGGCUCGAGCAAUUCUCCUGCCUCGGCCUCGUAACGCGUUAGGAUUACAAGCGUGAACACCGCACCUGGCCAGCAUGUGGUCUCUUAACCAGAGGAGGCCUCUUCUGAACUAGGUAGAGGUCCUGAGAAUUGAUUCUGAGAGUAAAAGGCUCUUUGUUCUCCUCAGAGUAGAUUAGAAUCCCUAAUGAUAGAGCAUCUAUUAUUCCUCUAGUGGUCCAUGCCCAACAGAUUCAUCCAAGAAUAGAUGAAGAUCUUUGUAAUGUUGUGCAAGUAAUCUAAUCACCCCACAGAAGAGCUGUGACUUAAAUUAUCCCAGAGUCGGCCCACCUGUUUUCAUAAAGAUCAAUGUAACUUGUAAAUUUCUUCAGUUCUCCUCACCUAUCAUCAUUUGACUAACAAAACCCAGAAAACUAGGCUAGUUAUGGUGGCCUAUGCAUAUAAUCCCAACUCUUUGAGAGGCCAGGGUGGGUGGAUUGCUUGAGUCCAGGAAUUCGAGACCAGCCUGGGCAACAAAGGGAGACCCUGCCUAUAUCCCAGCUAUGCAGGAGGCGAGGCCAGAGGAUUGCCUGAGCCUCAGAGGUUGAGGCUGUAGUGAGCCAUGAUUGCCCCACUACACUCCAGCCUGGAUGACAGAGUGAGACCCUGCCUUAAAAAUAAUAAUAAUAGUAAUAAUAUUUCAUAAAGAUACAGGAAACUAGAUUAUAAUUGACAUUUUCAAAGUGAAAUACUGUCUAGAAUGGUGCUUGGCCAACAGUAAGCUUUUUGUAAGUGGAAGUCAUUACUACUACUAUUUCUUUCAUUAUUAUUACCAUUACUACUUUUUUUUACAAAAAAAAAACCCUGGACAACACACUGAAACCAUUACUACUUCUACUACUAUAACUUAGGUUGCACCUGAUAGAGCCAGCAAUUUUUCCAAGGUAUGACAAUGGCCAUAUGUUUAAUGAUAUAAUUCUAUGGCUCAGUGUAUCUCAGCCUUUUUAAACCCUGCUCUUCUUUUGACAAUUGUAAAAAUCUUAAACUGACCUCCAGUUGAAAUCCUCUGUCAAGAAGAUAUUGUCGGCCAGGGGCGGUGGCUCACACCUGUAAUCCCAGCACUUUUGGAGGCCGAGGUGGGAGGAUCACUUGAGGUUAGGAGUUCAAGACCAGCCUGGCCAACAUAGUGAAACCCCAUCUCUACUAAAAAUACAAAAAUUAGGCAGGCAUGGUGGUGUGUGCCUGUAAUCCCAGCUACUCAGGAGGCUGAGGUAGGAGAAUUGCUUGAACCUGGCAGGGCAGAGGUUGCAGCAAGCCGAGAUCACGCCACUGCUCUCCAGCCUGGGUGAGACUGUCUCAAAAAAAAAAAAAAAAAAGAAAGAAAGUAAGAAAAAGAAGAAAUCCCAAUCUCUUCUUUUAUGUGGAUUCUUCCUCACUUGAAUAAUACUUUUCUUCCCCAGUAUUCUCCAUAUUAUCCCAGAGUCAGCCCCUCUGUUUUUGUAAAGAUCUACGUAACCUCCUCUAAGUUUCCCAGUUCUCCUCACCUAUCAUAUCAUUUGGCUCAACAAAGGGCAGGAAGCUAGAUUCUAAUUGAUAUUUUGAGGCCGGGAGCAGUGGCUCAUGCCUGUAAUCACAGCACUUUGGGAGGCUGAGGCGGGCAGAUCACUGGAGGUCAGGAGUUCGAGACCAGCCUGGCCAAUAUGGUGAAACCUCGUCUCUACUAAAAAUACAAAAAAUUAGCCAGGCUUGGUGGCUUGUACCUGUAAUCCCAGCUACUCAGGAGGCUGAGGCAGGAGAAUAGCUUAAACCUGGGAGGAAGAGGUUGCAGUGAGCCGAGAUUGCUCAAUUGCACCCCAGCCUGGGUGACAGAGCAAAACUCCAUCUCAAAAACAAACAAACGAACAAACCUGAUAUUUUCAAAAUUGAGGCAAUUAUAACAGCUAUUUAGCCAAGCAUUAUGAUAGCAAUAAUAGCAAGAAAAUAAAUUAGUUAACAAAUGAGUCUCAGAAGCCCAAUGAUUUUUAUUUUAUUUUUAUUUUUUGAACUUUUAUUUUAGAAUCAGGGGAUACAUGUGCAGGUUUGUUACCCGGGUAUAUUGCAUGAUGCUGAGUUUUGGAGUAUGCAUGAAUCCAACCUGUCAUCCAGGUAGUGAGUAUAGUACCCAACAGAUAGUUUUUUUAACAUUUACUUCACUCCCUUCCCCAAUCUUGUAUUCCCCUGUGUCUACUGUUCCCAUUUUUAUGACUGUGCCAACAAUAAUUUUUUUUCUUUUUUCUUUAAAUAGAGAUGGGGGUCUCUAUUUAAAGAGCCUCCCAAAGUGCUAGGAUUACAGGUGUGAUCCAUUGCACCUGGCCCAUGCCAACAAUAUUUGAAACCCUUAUCUGCGUGUACAAGUUUGCUACUGGUUUUGUUUUGCUCAUUAAUACAUCCCAAGCAUCUAUACCUGGCUUGUAGUACCAGCAUGUAGUAGGUGCUUAAUAAAUAUUUAUUGAAUAAAUAAAUUAGUUUGACAUUAGUUUAACAUCUCAAGUAAAACAAAAUACCAUUCAAUUAAUUCUCUUCUUCUACUUUUUUCUUUUAAGAGAGACAAAUAGUCACACAUACAUCAGCAGGAGAGGAUACAAUUUCCUGUGUUUAAGUUUUUAUGAGUUACUUUAGUUCAAAUGUCACAGAAAAUUAUAUUGAACUCUUGACCAAUCUAUCUAUUUUUUCCAUUGGAGUAUUGACCCAAAUAAGAAAUAGCAUAAAGGAAAAAUUAUUUUUUGGCAGAAAAAUAUUCUCUCUAAAUUCUUGUGUGUUUUGUUUUGAUUUUUUCCUUAGUGACUGGAGGCCAGUUUCAAUCCACUGAAGCACAGAUUCCAAAUUUUCAAUCUGGUUUUCUUGAGUAGUGACUGAGUGCCAAAAAUGAAGCAAUGACACAACAUCACCAUCAAGACACUCCCCAGCACGCACACACAUGCCAGAGUCCAACACCAAGAUACUCCCCAGCACGCACACACACGCCAGAGUCCAGGCCAUAUUCGGGUGGCUUGCAAGCUUCUUCCCCCCAAGUAUUUACUCUCAAAAUAAUGGUUUUUGUUUUGUUUUGGUUUGGUUUGGUUUGUUUUUUUCCAAAUACAUUUCUUCCCUAUAUCUUUAACCAAUUCUCAUAAAAUUUUGUCUAAUACACUGGUCAGUGUAUUCCAGACCCUAAAAGAUAACAUAAUGAAACUAUCUAUGACUAAAAGGUAAUCAGGAUCUUCUACUUAUCCUUUUUUCCUCCCUCUUAAACUUUAAUUUUGAUACAUUUGGGAGUGAAAUGAUGACAAUAAAUGCAAAGUAAUUAUUGAAGAAACAGUAAUUUUGUAUUAGCUUACUGAAAAAAAAAAAAAAGAUAACCAAAUAUAUUUUGGCAGCCCCAAACGAGUCACAUGUGAAAUGCAGUGGGAGAGCAGUGUCCUGAAGGAAAAGGUGGCCUGCUGGACAGCCAAGAGAACAAACAUCCACUGCAAGUAAUAUGAGCUCUAAGUUUGGACUAGGCCUAUGUCUGCUCUGAGACUUGGGGCAAUUCACUUAAUCAGAGCCUUAAUCAGCUACGGACUAGCAAUAUCCAUACCCGCUACUUAUUUUGUAAAUCUCCUUUCUAAAGUUAACUCUAUUUAUUGUUCCAUAAUCCCAUAAAUUCUAGAAUCUUUUCCUGUUAUAGCCAAGUUGUCUAUCAUUGACAGAGAUAUUCACCUGGUUGUUUUGGCUUCUCUAAUCCUCCUGGUGAGAACACCUCCAAGGGAGCUUUCAGUGGCAUUUAAGGUCACUUGUGCUCUUGGUCCUAGAAACUGCCUUGAUAGUGGUUUUAGCUCACAUGAGGUAAGUCUUUAUUAUAUGCCCAACCUCUUUAUGCAUUACUUCAUUUAAUUGUAUACUAAUCCUUUGUCAUAGGUUAUCAGAGUGUUUGAUUAUAAGUUACAGGAAGAAAAAAAAAAACAAACUCCAAUUGACUAAAACAAUGGGGCAUUUUUUGACUCACAUAACAGAGAGUCUAGAGAGAAGGCACCUUCAGGUUUGGCUGAUGAAUCCUGUAUCUCUGCCUUGUCUCCAGGCCCCCAGGUUCUGCCUCUGUCCUGACAUCCAGUGUUGGAUUCCUCUUCACAUCAACUCCUCUCUGUAGGUUGGGCCAUCAGACCCUACCUCCUUAUUUAUGUUGAGCAAAGGAGAGAGAAUGCCUCUACAAACAAUGAAAAAAGUGAAAAAAAAAAUCUUUCUCCUCCUUAUAACUUUAGUUAGCUUAACUUUAGUCAGUUGCUUAGCUACUAAACAGUAGCUAUUGGGAGGUGGGAAGGAAUACUAUUGUGUAAUCAACUAAGGCUCAUACAGAGGAUUAGGGUUAUCUGAAUUGAUUUGAAUUAAUUAGAAUUUACUCUCAGAGCUGUGGCAAUUCCUUGAACCACACUGAUUGCUAUAAAGUGGAAGAGGAAUAGAUUGAAUUUUGGGGAGUCAACUACAAUGUGUACUACAGGAACAAAACCCAUCAGAAGAUGUCAGAAGAUAAGGAUUUUUGUCCUGAUGCUACACUUACCAGCUGUCCCUCAGUGUUCUACUUCUUAAAAAAAGAGAGAUGGAUAAACAGAGGCAACCCGAGGAUAAAGGCCUUGCUCAGUGUCACACAUUUCAGUCACUAAAUAAGACACAAUGGAUGCCAGUAUUCUCAUCCCCUCACAAAUAAAGAGCCUUCAAGCUCUUGCAGUCAACAAGAACUUUUGGAAUGAUUUCACUGCCUGAAAAGGCAGAUACAUAGGUGACACCCACAAAUAGGAAGAAAAUCAACCUGAACCUGAGUGUGUGGGCUCACUGACUCUAAGCAGUAGAGACAGAAGAAAAAGUUUUAGCAAAGAAGGGUUCUGAAAGAAAAUAAAUAUAGCUCGUUAUCAAGUGCUGUUUUUACACAGUAAAACAUGGGCAAAAUUACUCUUCUUUAAGUAGUAAUUCUUAUCUCUUGAUUAAGUCACCUACUCAUUCAUUUAAUAAAUACAUACUGAUUGUUUUCUAUGUGUUGAGCACUCAUCUCUGUAUUGGAAAUAUAAUAAUGACCAAAGUUGACAAUAGUAAUAACAAUAAUAGCUAAUAUAGCAGGCACUAAUAAUUAUUUGUUGAGUAAUAUGUCAAAAUUCAGUGUGAACAGCAUUCUAUUUGGGGCUGCAUCCACUGACUAUAACACAGCUAAUCUAUCUGAAAUGUUCCAGCUUUGGGCCUCUCUAACAGAAGAAGCUGUUGUUGGGCCUGCCUCUAGUUGGCGAUGCAUCCACCAAUGAGAAUGAAUUUAUGAUCGACCACUCUUCCUGUAAAGGCCGCUGGAACUGACAGCAUUGUGAUUUUCUUUUACUGUUAGUUUUAAAUUACUAGAACCAACUCAAUUACUAGAACGAACUUUACUUCUUUGUUUCCUACUUAUCAAAACAGUAAAAACAACAAGUAAAAGAAAUGCCAUCUUAAUAUUGUUUUGAUGACAAAACAGUAUUCCUUUUAGUUGUGCUUCAAAUGGAAUAAGAUGCAAACAGGCUUGGUAUGGUGGCUCACCCCUGUAAUCCCAGCCCUUUGGGAGGCCAAGGUGGAAGGAUUGCUUGAGGCCAUGAGUUUGAGACCAGCCUGCGCAACAUAGCAAGACCGUGUCUCUACAAAAAAUAAAAAAUUAGCUGAGUGUAGUGGUGUGUGCUUGUGGUCCCAGCUACUUUUGAGGCUGAGGAGGGAGAAUCUCUUGAGCCCAGAAGGUCGAAGUUGCAGUGAGCCGUGAUCGUGCCAUUGCUCUCCAGCUUGGACAACAAAGCAAGACCCUAUGUCAAAAAAUAAAUAAAUAAAAGACAUAAACAUAUCUGAGAUUAACUUUCAGUGGUAAAUUUGUUCCAUAUAUGAUUUUUAAGGUUAAAUGCUUUGGAAGCUUUAAAAACCAUUUCAGCCCUUUUAAAUGCCAACUUACACUGAUGAUGCUCUCAGAUGUUAGGAAAUCUUUUGAGCAGAAAAUGGAAGUGGGGGUGUUGAGGCAGGGAGGAGAGUGAUGCAAUAUUCCUUAGUGUCAUCCUGUGAUUUCACAAUUUGUUUUUCAAUCUGUUUGGACUUUCAAAAGGGAAGACUCUCAUAUGUCAACAAGCCCAUGAACUGAAGCUUAAAACACUGGAAACAACAACUGUAGAGUUUCAAGUAUAUGUACAUUUAUGUAUUCAUGUUCCUUGAUGGGAAUGCUGGCUGGUGUGAAUGUUCAAUCUCCUGAGAAAUGUAAAUUUUUCUCUGACAGAUUUAUUAGCUUGCUGUAUCUGAGCACAUGAGCAAAAACAAUGCCUAAUAAGAAAACUUUCUCUCUCCUUCAAAGUCAAACUUGGGAGAAAUGAAGGGAAAUCGAGUUUUCUUUGCUUGACAGUGUUCAACAUUCUUGUAGUCAGUGUGCUCAUGAAGAUUGCAAACUUUUUUUUUUUUUUAGAGCAGCUAGGACUACAGGCGCGCACCACCACACCCAGCUAAUUUGUGUAUUUUUAGUAGAGAUGGGGUUUUAACUAUGUUGGCCAAGCUUGUCUCAAACUCCUGACCUCAAGUGAUCCAUUCGACAGCUCUUUCUUUUUUUUUUUUUUUUUUGAGACAAAGUCUCGCUCUGUCACCCAGGCUGGAGUGCAGUGGUAUGAUCUCAGCUCACUGCAACCUCCGCCUCCUGGGUUCAAGCAAUUCUCAUGCCUUAGCCUCCCGAAU
rnacentral:lncRNA from 1 species